ensembl:lncRNA
AAAAAAAACUGUGUUGGUCUGAGAUUAAAUACCUACAGUAGCCCUUGUGUUUCUUCGUGUAUCCAUACUUUUGGUUGUUUACUAUUUUUUGUUUCUUCAUUUGUCCUCAAUUUCGGAUGUUUUGGGCUUCUUUGCAUAUCAACAGUUGAACAGGUCAUUACUUUUUCUGUAGUUUUGUUCCCAGAGGAAGAUGACUGUGAGGCAGUAGUUUCACGCAUGUGGCUCAAAGGGGGACUUUGCUACUGGUUUACCACACAGCAUCACCAGUUUGCAAGGAACUUGUUCACCACCUGAAGACACCUGGGAGGCUGUCCCUUAUAAGCUCAUCAAGCAUGCAGGUGAAUUUGAAAACAUAAUAACAAUUUGAAACUUGGAAUGAAAAUAUGUUUUGCAGGGUAAAUGCUUACAAAACCUUAACGUGAGAGACCGGAAGUGUGUAUCGCCAGGAGUGAAAAUCGUUCCAGCGUGGGCCCCUACCACCCCAAGGACGCACAUCUACACAACAACACCCUGUGGAUUGCAGCCCUGGAGGAUGGAGCAAGCACAGUACUCCAAGACACCAGAGAGGUACUCCACGCCACCAUGUAGAGAACUGCUACAUAGGGCAAGAAGGCAGAGGUUGAGGGAAGUUUUAGCUCUGCACAUGAAGAAAAUUUGGAGAACAUCAAGCGGCUGACUGAAGAGAAGGUUGAGCUGAGGGCACAGCUGUCUCUACAAUCAGCUUCUGAUGAACGUCUGACUGAAGAGAAUGUCAAGCCAAGGGCAUAGCUGGCUCUACAAUUAGGAGCCAUAAGGAAGAAUCCUUCCAACCAGGAGGCCAAUGACAAGGCUGUCCAGAACCAGGUCCCCAGGUAACAGAAAGGGGCAGCUGACGUGCAUGUGGGAAAAAAACAAGGGACCUGCCAUGAAUAUGAAUGACAUUUCCAGCACAACCAAUAUUGCUGCUAAUCUACAGUACUCUUUAUUUAGUAAUUUUUUUUUAACUGCUGCUAUGUACAGCGUUAUGUAUAUGAUCGCAUUAUUCUCUUAAUAUUUAAAGCUGUGUGUGAAUGUUCUUGAUUCUGACUGUAGUUGUAGUGUUAUGCCACCAUUCAUUAGCUUAUUGCACUAAUGCAUCAAUAAUAUUCAAUAACUAUCGAUUGCUUCUAGGUCUCACUUAUGUAUAUUACUGCCGUUCUAGCCCUUGUUUAUUUUGUAUUGUAUUAUAUUUACUAUUAUGUUUACUUUUUCACAUUCAAAUAUCUGUUGCUGGACACUAUUCUUGCACUAUUAGAUUUAAAAAGAA